CCUACGGGAGGCAGCAGUGAGGAAUAUUGGUCAAUGGCCGCAGGGCUGAACCAGCCAAGUCGCGUGAGGGAUGACGGUCCUAUGGAUUGUAAACCUCUUUUGUCAGGGAGCAAAGGGCGCCACGUGUGGCGUUUUGCGAGUACCUGAAGAAAAAGCAUCGGCUAACUCCGUGCCAGCAGCCGCGGUAAUACGGAGGAUGCGAGCGUUAUCCGGAUUUAUUGGGUUUAAAGGGUGCGCAGGCGGAAUGUCAAGUCAGCGGUAAAAUUUCGGGGCUCACACCCGUUGUGCCGUUGAAACUGGCGGUCUUGAGUGAGCGAGAAGUAUGCGGAAUGCGUGGUGUAGCGGUGAAAUGCAGAGAUAUAACGCAGAACUCCGAUUGCGAAGGCAGCAUACCGGCUCGCAACUGACGCUCAUGCACGAAAGCGUGGGUAUCGAACAGGAUUAGAUACCCCAGUAGUC
rnacentral:rRNA from 1 species